AUUUUUUUCCGUACGAUUCACUUGCUGGAUAAGAAAAAAAUCUGUUCUUAUCAGUUUAAUAUCUGAUACGUCCCCUAUCUGGGGACCAUAUAUUAAAUUGAUUUUUCGAACAGGGAGAUGGAAAAAGAGCUUGCUCUGUCCACUCCACGCAUUGACCUGGUAUUGCAGUACCUCCAGGAUCGGUGCAACCCUU